ACGAACGCUGGCGGCGUGCUUAACACAUGCAAGUCGAACGGAAAGGCCCUGCUUUUGUGGGGUGCUCGAGUGGCGAACGGGUGAGUAACACGUGAGUAACCUGCCCUUGACUUUGGGAUAACUUCAGGAAACUGGGGCUAAUACCGGAUCGGAGCUCCUGCUGCAUGGUGGGGGUUGGAAAGUUUCGGCGGUUGGGGAUGGACUCGCGGCUUAUCAGCUUGUUGGUGGGGUAGUGGCUUACCAAGGCUUUGACGGGUAGCCGGCCUGAGAGGGUGACCGGCCACAUUGGGACUGAGAUACGGCCCAGACUCCUACGGGAGGCAGAAGUGGGGAAUAUUGCACAAUGGGCGGAAGCCUGAUGCAGCAACGCCGCGUGCGGGAUGACGGCCUUCGGGUUGUAAACCGCUUUCGCCUGUGACGAAGCGUGAGUGACGGUAAUGGGUAAAGAAGCACCGGCUAACUACGUG
rnacentral:rRNA from 1 species